GCAGAAGUAUUGCUCCAGGCUUUCUUAAAGUACCUUCCUUUGUUUGCCUACAUCUCUGCAAAAUGAAGUUGUAGCAGCCACAGUUCAACACCAAGGGCUGUUGGUUGUAAAGACAGGCAUGUGAACACACACUCAUAAACCUACCUUGGCUUCAUUCUGAACUGGUGCUGCACUGUUUUUUUCCAACAAUACGUGGGGAUCCAGCAGUGCCCUACAGGGCUUGAAGGUAAGCGUGGAGAAGAGCAAAAAUCCUUUAGCUGACUCUACUGAAGAGGGUGGCAGGGCAGCCUGGGUUCAUUCAACUGACCCUGUUUCAGCUACCCUUGCUGCUGGUGUGGCCCAAGGAAAUUUGUUUCCUGAUGUGGUGAUGAAUCAAUGUUCUGUUCCAGAUCAGGUCAUUUGAUACCUGUGGGCUGUGGUAAUAAGCCCAUUAAUGAAGGAAGUAGCCAAAAAUCAUUACCAUGGCAUCACAGAUUUCAGUGAAUCUCUCUUCCCAGCAGCCUAGUGAGGCAGAAUGAAGUCUUUCUGGAUUUUACAAUUUGAGAACACAGCCUCUGAGAAGAAAUGUAUAUUUUUUCUAACAACUUCCUUAAUACUUUCACAAAUUCCAGGUGGUGCAUAGCUGCACCAUUGACUACAAGAAAACUCUGGAGUCUAAGGCCUUCCCAGCAACACACCAGCUCCACUUAGCAGACAAUGGUUUUUAAGCAGCCUUUUGCAAGGCUGUGGUUACAUUUCUCACUGUUGGCCCACACUUUUCAAUGAGGCCCACGCUCUCAGGCAGUGACAUCAGCAUUUGGGGGCUGCUGUGCCACCCACAG